AACGAACGCUGGCGGCAUGCCUAACACAUGCAAGUCGAACGAUUGCAUUCGGGUGAUAGUGGCGCACGGGUGCGUAACGCGUGGGAAUCUGCCCUUAGGUUCGGAAUAACAGCUGGAAACGGCUGCUAAUACCGGAUGAUAUCGCGAGAUCAAAGAUUUAUCGCCUGAGGAUGAGCCCGCGUUGGAUUAGGUAGUUGGUGGGGUAAAGGCCUACCAAGCCGACGAUCCAUAGCUGGUCUGAGAGGAUGAUCAGCCACACUGGGACUGAGACACGGCCCAGACUCCUACGGGAGGCAGCAGUGGGGAAUAUUGGACAAUGGGCGCAAGCCUGAUCCAGCAAUGCCGCGUGAGUGAUGAAGGCCCUAGGGUUGUAAAGCUCUUUUACCCGGGAAGAUAAUGACUGUACCGGGAGAAUAAGCCCCGGCUAACUCCGUG
rnacentral:rRNA from 1 species